UGGGAAGUGGCAGCACUGAUUUGCCUGCCGAGUUCCGUUUUAUUAAAAUUGUCAACAAACUGUUUUCAAAUUGAAAUUUCCAAACUACAGAAAGUGGCGUCGUUUACAAGGUAUUUUGUGCGUUCUAGUUUGUAUUCAACAGUUACUCUAAAUUUGAGCGUCGGUUCCCUGACGAGCAGGGGUAGUACGAAAUUUAUCACUGGUGGAAAUAUGGCAAUGAGCAGCACUCGUGCGAAACCAGUUGUGGGGGUGAUUUCAGAAUUCUUUGUGGGUUCCACAAGUAUAGAUACGUUGGCUAAACAUUGUCCUUCUGUAUCGAUUGUUGAGAUAGAUCAUACAGGUA